UCUCAAACUUCUAUAUGAUAA
ensembl:piRNA 21ur-2085 ncRNA